AGUGAACGCUGGCGGCAGGCCUAAUACAUGCAAGUCGAACGGCAGCACAGUGGAGCUUGCUCCAUGGGUGGCGAGUGGCGGACGGGUGAGGAAUACAUGGGAAUCUGCCCAGUCGUGGGGGAUAGCGUAGGGAAACUUACGCUAAUACCGCAUGCGCCCUUCGGGGGAAAGCCGGGGACCUUCGGGCCUGGCGCGAUUGGAUGAGCCCAUGUUCGAUUAGCUAGUUGGCGGGGUAAAGGCCCACCAAGGCGACGAUCGAUAGCUGGUCUGAGAGGAUGAUCAGCCACACUGGGACUGAGACACGGCCCAGACUCCUACGGGAGGUAGCAGUAGGGAAUAUUGGACAAUGGGCGCAAGCCUGAUCCAGCCAUGCCGCGUGAGUGAAGAAGGCCCUCGGGUUGUAAAGCUCUUUUGUCCGGGAAGAAAAGCAUCGGGCUAAUACCUCGGUGUUCUGACGGUACCGGAAGAAUAAGCACCGGCUAACUUCGUG
rnacentral:rRNA from 1 species